rnacentral:rRNA from 1 species
UACAGAGGGGGCAAGCGUUGUUCGGAAUUACUGGGCGUAAAGGGCGCGUAGGCGGCCUUCUAAGUCGAACGUGAAAUCCCCGGGCUCAACCCGGGAACUGCGUCCGAUACUGGAAGGCUUGAAUCCGGGAGAGGGAUGUGGAAUUCCAGGUGUAGCGGUGAAAUGCGUAGAUAUCUGGAGGAAUACCGGUGGCGAAGGCGGCAUCCUGGACCGGCAUUGACGCUGAAGCGCGAAAGCUAGGGGAGCAAACGGG